ensembl:lncRNA
GCAGUGGUACCUUUGAGACUGUGCUGCUGUCUGUUGGGUUGUUGUUCAAAUGGUUUCUACAGGGCAGAAUGUUCUCUGAUAUUCAGUAGAAAAAAAAAAAAUACCAAGACUUGUUUUCUUCUUUAUCAUUGUACUAAAGAAAAGCAAAAGGUUGUCGUUGUUGUAAUGGUUGUUUUUAAGAUACUGUUUUCUCUCCUGGUUACUGGUGAAAGAAAGUGAAGUACCAAAUGAAGCUGUGGGAACAGAAGAAAGGAAAGCCUGGGGUAAUUUGGGCUGUGAAAAUAGAUUCAAAGGCUAAAUCUUAAUUCUGGAGAAUAAACUUGAAGGAAGGAAAGACAGAAAUCGCUUUCCUGCCACUUAGAGAUGAAAAAUGGAAAACAGAGCUCAUAUUAAACGAAGGAAGGAAUCUUUUAGAAGGAGAAAAAGACUUAAGGGAACAAUAGCAAUGUACUGUUCCUAGAUAUUCUCAAAAAUAUUGUUAAAUUCAAAUAAACUCGAUGUAAAAAUUGAAAAAACAGCAUUAUUUGGUGCUGAAAGACUGUAUUGGUUGGCUACUUUGCAACGCUGUAUUUUGCACAAUGGGGUAAACGUGCAGAGAAAGGCAGUUUUCUAGAAGCUCCCCAAGCGUUCGAGUCUGUAGCAACAAACAGAUCUAAUUGUUAUGGAACUGUGGUAACCUAAUGAAUGCACUUGUUUUGUUUUUAAGGGUAUUUGAAAAUAUCUAUCGAUAGAUUUUUAUCUAUUGUUACCUAUUGAUAACGUUCUGCAGAAAAAUCUGUCUGCGUUUUUCUUGUCUAAUUCCAAUUCCUAUUUUCUGGGAAAAGAUUCCUGUAUGAGUGGGCUGUAUGGCAAAGAGUGGACGGAAAGGUAUGAGAGCUCGCAGCUCAGGAGUGCUGGGAAUCACAGCAGAUCCCACGGCUGUUGUGAAGGUAACCAACCAACCAACCAACCUGCUCUGGAGGUGACCGCACGUCCCACAGAACCCAGCCCGAGUUCCUGCCUUCUGACCUUGCACUGCAGGACUGGGUAACAGGUGUCAACCUGAGAAAAGCAGAAUCCCUGCCCUCUCAUCUUGCUGGAGUUAUUGUGUAGGCAUACUUUAACCUAUGGAGGAUUUGAUAUGAGAU